UUGAACGCUGGCGGCAGGCCUAACACAUGCAAGUCGCACGGUAACAGGAAGAAGCUUGCUUCUUUGCUGACGAGUGGCGGACGGGUGAGUAAUGUCUGGGAAACUGCCUGAUGGAGGGGGAUAACUACUGGAAACGGUAGCUAAUACCGCAUAACGUCGCAAGACCAAAGAGGGGGACCUUCGGGCCUCUUGCCAUCGGAUGUGCCCAGAUGGGAUUAGCUAGUAGGUGGGGUAACGGCUCACCUAGGCGACGAUCCCUAGCUGGCCUGAGAGGAUGACCAGCCACACUGGAACUGAGACACGGUCCAGGCUCCUACGGGAGGCAGCAGUGGGGAAUAUUGCACAAUGGGCGCAAGCCUGAUGCAGCCAUGCCGCGUGUAUGAAGAAGGCCUUCGGGUUGUAAAGUACUUUCAGCGGGGAGGAAGGGAGUAAAGUUAAUACCUUUACUCAUUGACGUUACCCGCAGAAGAAGCACCGGCUAACUCCGUG
rnacentral:rRNA from 1 species